UUGCUUGGCAGUGGACAUGACCACAACAGCAGUUAGGGUGGCUGCAAAAAGUAAAACCCUAAGACCAACAUCAACGGCAAAGUAGUCGAUGCCCUUAGGAGGAGGAUGUGGCACCUCCGACUUGGUAGCGGCUUCUGGGUCGGGCUUAUCUGUACCGGUGGACGCCAUGAGCUAGGAGGCAGCAGACAAGCAAGCAGAUAUGGUUG
rnacentral:misc_RNA from 1 species